rnacentral:rRNA from 1 species
GAUCAUGGCUCGAGAACGAACGCUGGCAGCGUGGAUUAGGCAUGCAAGUCGAACGGGAGUCCAUGAAAUAGCAAUAUGGAUUGGUGAGAGUGGCGGAAGGGCGAGGAACACGUGAGCAACCUGUCCUUGAGGUGGGGAAAACCGUUGGAAACGACGGCUAAUACCGAAUGCGGCGCCCGGAGACAUCUCCGGCGCGCUAAAGGGGGCCGCAAGGCUCCCCCUCUUCGAGGGGCUCGCGCACCAUCAGCUUGUUGGCGGGGUAACGGCCCACCAAGGCUCACGGUUAGCUGGUCUGAGAGGAUGGCCAGCCGCACUGGGACUGAGAUACUGCCCAGACUCCUACGGGAGGCUGCAGUCGAGGAUCAUUCGCAAUGGGGGAAACCCUGACGAUGCGACGCCUGCGUGGAGGAUGAAGGCCCUCGGGUCGUAAACUCCUGUCAUGGGGGAAAAGGCGAGGGGACCCAACACGUCCCUUAGUUGAUGGUACCCCAAGAGGAACGGGCGGCUAACUCUGUGCCAGCCGCCGC